GGGGAGAGAGAUUCAUGUGGGAUCGGGGGCGAGGAUCUGCCGGGUUCUCUGAGCUACGAGCCAAGGCCAGGGAGCCCAGGCAAUCCCAUCCCAGGAGCUAGAGUUAGGUCCCUACUCAGAGUGCCCAUGUGGGUACUGCCUGGAAACAGACAGCAGGUAGCAAACCUCUAACAGGGGCACCGGGGCAACCUGCUUGAAUUGGCUGCUUGGGGAGCCCAGGGCCAAACUGCCUCUGGGAAGAGAUGAGGUCAUGGAGGCCUUAACUUAUCAGAAAGGAAAGCGAUUUUCUAUGCAGGUCACCCGGCCCUAUUUUUGCUCCUGGCUGUCUUUCCAGGGAGAGCCCAUUGGAUCAGUUUCACUUUGCUUACUGUCAGUUUCCUUUCUGGUUCUUGGGCCCUUUGGGGGAGCAAAGGGGGGGGCAGAACCACUGUUUAAAAACAGGUCUCUUUGUAUAAAUGUAUAUAACUAAACUAUUGUAUGUAAAGUAAAUAAGGUUUUUAAAAUGUUUAAGAAGCUUCAUUUAAAAAUUAAAUUAAAAUGCAAAGCCCCCCCGGCCUGGUGGCCAGGGCCCAGGCAGUGUGAGUGCCACUGAAAGUCAGCUCGCAUGCCGCCUUUGGCGCACCUGCUGUAGGUUGCCUACCCCUGGUUUAAAACAUACUUUCAAUUUAAAAGAGAGUUCUAUUGAUCCCCGCUUUUUGUUCAAAGCUGACUUUUACAAAACCAACAAUUUUCUGGGUGAAUCUGAUGCCCUUUUCCCUUUCUCCUCUCUGGGAUCAUGCCCAAUCUAAUGCUAUCUAUCUAGGAAUGGCUCUUCAGCCAUGCCUACAGUACACUCCCCCACCCCCCAUAAAUGCACCUGAACAAUGCAGUGUGCAGCUGGCUCAGCACUGCUAAUUGGGUUCCUAGCACCAGUCUAUUGCUGCCCUGAUCAGCAAGGACCAGGAGUACUCAGGGUGCUGCAAACACAGCCAGCAUUGGUUACUCCCUGUCAGCCAUAGUCAGUUGCUUCAAGUCCUAUCAUUGCUAAUCAGAGCAUCCUAGAUGCUGCUGUUUUGCAAGCUGGGUGAAGUUAGGCCCUAGCAGCUUAUCUAGCCACCCAGCUGCCUGAGCACAUUCACAGUUGCCGCAGACGUUGCUUGUUUACUGUCCUUGCUCCUCCUCUGUAGGGGAAGAACUGGGAGUCAGACGACACAGGUUCUUUUCCCACAUCUACCACUAACUGAAUGUGUGACUCGUGCUGUUCUGUACCCAUGUCCCCACUUGGAAAACAAGGAUUGUGUCACCUACCCUGCACUGCAACUACCAGCCGUGAGUCAGGAAGCGUCAUUCUGAGCAAGUGGGUGGUUCCGCUGAUUUCAGUGGGAACAUGUCCAUGCUUUAACGGAACGUGUCGCUUUGGCUGAAAAUUUUGAUGGAAAAAAAGGCAAAGCGAAUAGUGAAAGAACGUCAGAAUGGCCAUACUAGGGCAGACCACUGGUUCCUCAAGUCUAGUAACCUCUUCGCUGCCAGUGGCCAGUGCCAGAUGCUUCAGAGGGAAUGAACAGAACAGGGCAAUUAUCGAGUGAUCCAUUCCCCGUCAUCCAGUCCCAGCUCUGGACUUUCUGAUUUUGUUUCAAUAAUGGCAAAACAUAUUAAAAUAUGGUCUUGAAUGGGAA